GAUGAACGCUGGCGGCGUGCCUAAUACAUGCAAGUCGAGCGAACGGACGAGAAGCUUGCUUCUCUGAUGUUAGCGGCGGACGGGUGAGUAACACGUGGAUAACCUACCUAUAAGACUGGGAUAACUUCGGGAAACCGGAGCUAAUACCGGAUAAUAUUUUGAACCGCAUGGUUCAAAAGUGAAAGACGGUCUUGCUGUCACUUAUAGAUGGAUCCGCGCUGCAUUAGCUAGUUGGUAAGGUAACGGCUUACCAAGGCAACGAUGCAUAGCCGACCUGAGAGGGGGUUCGGCCACCCUGAACCUGAGACCCGUUCCAGCCCCUAACGGGAGGCAGAGUUGGGAAUUCUUGAGAAUUGGGGGAAAGCCUGUCCAAGCAACGCGGGUGGGGUGAUGAGGGUCUUCGGUUCGUAAGACCCUGUUAUUGGGGAAGAACAUAUGUGUAUGUAACCGUGCUGAUCUGGCGGGAACCUAAUAAGAAGGCCCGGGUAACCUCCGU
rnacentral:rRNA from 1 species